rnacentral:rRNA from 1 species
GGCUUCCGCAAGGACGCUCGUCGAGGUGCUGCAUGGCUGUCGUCAGCUCGUGUCGUGAGAUGUUGGGUUAAGUCCCGCAACGAGCGCAACCCUUGUCCGCUGUUGCCAUCACGUUAUGGUGGGCACUCUGCGGAGACUGCCGGUGAUAAACCGGAGGAAGGUGGGGAUGACGUCAAGUCAGCAUGGCCUUUAUGUCUGGGGCUACACACGUGCUACAAUGGCGGAUACAAACCGUUGCGAUCCCGCGAGGGGGAGCUAAUCGGAGAAAGUCCGUCUCAGUUCGGAUUGCAGGCUGCAACUCGUCUGCAUGAAGUUGGAAUCGCUAGUAAUCGCGGAUCAGCACGCCGCGGUGAAUACGUUCCCGGGCCUUGUACACACCGCCCGUCACAUCACGAAAGCUGG